rnacentral:rRNA from 1 species
GACGAACGCUGGCGGCGUGCUUAACGCAUGCAAGUCGAACGGAAAGGCCCUGCUUUUGUGGUGUGCUCGAGUGGCGAAAGGGUGAGUAACACGUGAGUAACCUGCCCUUGACUUUGGGAUAACUUCAGGAAACUGGGGCUAAUACCGGAUAGGAGCUCCUGUUGCAUGGUGGGGGUUGGAAAGUUUAGGCGGUUGGGGCUGGACGCGCGGGUUACCAGGUUGUUGGUGGGGUGGUGGCUUACCAAGGCAUUGGCGGGUAGCCGGCAUUAGAGGGUGGCCAGCGUCAAUGGGACUGAGGGAGGGCCCAGACUGCUACGGGAGACAGCAGGGGGAAAUAUUGCACAAUCGUCCCGAGCGUGAGGCAGCAACGCCGCGUGCGGGAUGACGGCCUUCGGGUUGUAAACAGCUUUCGCCUGUGACGAAGCGUGAGUGACGGUAAUGGGUAAAGAAGCACCGGCUAACUACGUG